rnacentral:rRNA from 1 species
AUUGAACGCUGGCGGCAGGCCUAACACAUGCAAGUCGAGCGGGGUUUUCGGACCUAGCGGCGGACGGGUGAGUAAUGCGUAGGAAGCUGCCCGAUAGAGGGGGAUACCAGUUGGAAACGACUGUUAAUACCGCAUAAUGUCUACGGACCAAAGUGUGAGACCUUCGGGCCACAUGCUAUCGGAUGGGCCAACGUGGGAUUAGCUAGUUGGUGAGGUAAGGGCGCACCAAGGCGACGAUCUCUAGCUGGUUUGAGAGGAUGAUCAGUCACACUGGAACUGAGACACGGUCCAGACUCCUACGGGAGGCAGCAGUGGGGAAUAUUGGACAAUGGGCGCAAGCCUGAUCCAGCCAUGCCGCGUGUGUGAAGAAGGCCUUCGGGUUGUAAAGCACUUUCAUCGAGGAGGAAGGGUGGUGUGUUAACAGCACAUCAUUUUGACGUUACUCGCAGAAGAAGCACCGGCUAACUCUGUGCCAGCCGCCGCCGUAAAAC